ACGAGCCUCCCCCGGCCGCAGCAGGUUCCUCCUCGGCAGCCCCUGGCAGGCAUUGCGCGGCUCCGGCUCGCCCUGCCGCCUCCCUCCUCCGCGCAAAUGGGAUGCCAGCUAAACGUGAUGUUGUAAAAUCCAUGUGAGGACGGAAGGCAGAUGCAAUGAUUUGAAAGGCGGCUACCUGCUAAGCCUUGUGAUGGAUGGAUGGAUGGAUGGGAAUCUAUUCCCUUAGCGGCGAAUUGCUCUUCCCGUGGUGAUGGACACGCGGGCCGACCAGUGGCAUUGGCAGACACGAGCUCGUUGCACACGAGCGCGGCCAAUAAGUGCAGCCAAGGGGAGGGCGAAUCCUACUUGCCAGGGUCUGUCUUGGGAGGAAAACCAGAUUUUGCCUACUGGAAGAAUGCAGUGAAACUGCCAGUAUUUCUAGCCGGAAUUCUUAAUUGAACAUUCAACUUUAGUGUUACUUGUUUCUUACUAAAUAGUACCUCAAAGUAGAAGAAAAAUGUAUGGGAGUGCAAGAACAAUCGGCAACUUGGAAGGGAGUCCCUCCAGGUCCCCCCGCCUGCCGAGGUCCCCCCGGCUGGGCCACAGGAGAACCAGCAGCGGGGGAGGGGGGGCAGGGAAGACGCUGUCCAUGGAGAACAUCCAGUCCCUUAACGCAGCCUAUGCAACAUCUGGACCAAUGUACCUGAGUGACCACGAGGGUGUAGCUUCUACUACUUUCCCAAAGGGCACAAUGACUCUCGGAAGGGCUACAAAUCGAGCUGUGUAUGGUGGCCGAGUCACAGCCAUGGGGAGCAGCCCCAACAUCGCUUCUGCUGGACUGUCACACACGGAUGUCCUUUCUUACGCCGACCAGCACGGAGGGCUGACCGCAUCCUCACACCACCACCACCACCAGGUUCCUUCCAUGCUGAGACAGGUUAGGGAUAGCACCAUGUUAGAUCUGCAGGCUCAGCUGAAGGAUCUACAGAGGGAGAAUGACCUUCUCAGAAAAGAACUCGACAUUAAGGACAGCAAGCUGGGGUCCUCUAUGAACAGCAUCAAAACUUUCUGGAGUCCUGAGCUAAAGAAAGAGAGAGUAUUGAGGAAAGAAGAAGCAGCCAGAAUGUCAGUUCUUAAAGAACAGAUGAGAGUUUCCCAUGAAGAAAAUCAGCAUCUGCAAAUGACAAUCCAGGCACUUCAAGAUGAGCUUAGAACCCAGAGAGACCUUAACCAUCUUCUCCAGCAAGAAAGUGGGAACCGAGGGGCUGAGCAUUUUACCAUUGAGCUCACGGAGGAGAAUUUUCGAAGACUUCAGGCAGAGCAUGAUAGACAAGCUAAAGAGCUCUUCCUGUUGAGAAAAACUCUAGAAGAAAUGGAGCUUAGGAUUGAAACACAAAAGCAAACACUAAAUGCCAGAGAUGAAUCAAUAAAAAAGCUUCUAGAGAUGUUGCAAAGUAAAGGUUUGCCUUCUAAAGGAAUGGAAGAUGACAAUGAAAGAACUCGAAGGAUGGCAGAGGCUGAAUCUCAGGUUAAUCACUUAGAAGUGAUUUUAGAUCAGAAGGAGAAGGAAAACAUGCAUCUUAGAGAGGAACUGCACAGAAGAACCCAACUUCAGCCUGAGCCAGCGAAGACGAAGGCUCUGCAAACAGUCAUCGAGAUGAAGGAUACAAAAAUAGCUUCACUUGAGCGCAAUAUAAGAGAUCUGGAAGAUGAAAUACAGAUGUUAAAGACAAAUGGAGUUCUGAAUACAGAGGACAGAGAAGAAGAAAUCAAACAAAUAGAAGUUUACAAGAGUCACUCAAAGUUCAUGAAAAAUAAGAUUGAUCAACUGAAACAAGAAUUCUCAAAGAAAGAAUCAGAACUUCUUGCCUUACAAACUAAGCUUGAAACCCUUAGCAAUCAGAAUUCAGAUUGCAAGCAACACAUUGAAGUGCUUAAAGAGUCCCUUACUGCCAAAGAACAGAGAGCUGCCAUACUUCAGACCGAGGUUGAUGCCUUGCGGUUACGGUUAGAAGAAAAAGAAACCUUUCUGAAUAAAAAAACAAAACAACUUCAAGACCUCACAGAAGAGAAAGGAACCCUUGCUGGAGAAAUUCGAGAUAUGAAAGAUAUGUUGGAAGUAAAAGAAAGAAAAAUUAAUGUCCUUCAGAAAAAGAUUGAAAAUCUACAGGAGCAACUUAGGGACAAAGACAAACAACUAACUAAUCUGAAAGACAGAGUGAAGUCACUGCAGACGGAUUCCAGUAAUACAGACACAGCACUGGCAACCUUAGAGGAAGCCCUAUCAGAAAAGGAAAGAAUAAUAGAGCGUCUGAAGGAGCAAAGGGAUCGAGAUGACAGAGAAAGACUUGAAGAAAUUGAAUCUUAUAAAAAAGAAAACAAGGACCUGAAGGAGAAGGUUAAUGCUUUACAAGCUGAACUGACAGAAAAAGAGUCUAGUUUAAUCGAUCUCAAAGAACAUGCAUCUUCAUUGGCAUCAGCAGGGCUGAAAAGAGACUCCAAACUUAAGUCUUUAGAAAUAGCCAUAGAACAAAAGAAAGAAGAGUGUAGUAAGUUGGAAGCACAGUUGAAAAAGCAAGCUGAGCAGUUGUUCAAUCAGAUGUACAAUCCAAUGCCAAUUAGGAAUAAUGGGAAGCAAGGGGCUCAUGAAGCUGAAGAGGAGGCACGGAUGAAUCCAGAAUUUGCAGACAGAAUGAAACAGCUUGACAAGGAGGCCUCAUACUAUAGAGAAGAAUGUGGCAAAGCUCAGGCUGAGGUUGACAGACUUCUAGAAAUACUCAAGGAAGUAGAGAAUGAGAAGAAUGACAAAGAUAAGAAAAUUGCUGAGUUAGAAAGCUUGACUUCCAGACAUAUGAAGGACCAAAACAAGAAGGUUGCCAAUCUGAAGCACAAUCAGCAGUUGGAGAAAAAGAAGAAUGCACAGUUGUUGGAAGAAGUUCGUAGGCGAGAGGACAAUAUGACUGACAACUCUCAACAUUUGCAAGUAGAAGAGCUGAUGAAUGCACUGGAGAAGACCAGACAAGAAUUAGAUUCUACCAAAGCCCGUCUUGCCUCAACACAGCAGUCUCUGGCUGAAAAAGAAGCACAUCUGGCUAACCUGAGAAUAGAGCGAAGGAAACAGCUUGAAGAAAUUCUAGAAAUGAAACAGGAAGCUUUGCUUGCUGCAAUUAGUGAAAAAGAUGCAAAUAUUGCCUUGCUUGAGCUGUCUGCUUCAAAGAAAAAGAAGACUCAAGAUGAAGUAAUGGCCCUAAAACGAGAGAAGGACAGAUUAGUACAUCAGUUAAAACAGCAGACACAAAACAGAAUGAAGCUGAUGGCAGAUAACUAUGAUGAUGACCAUCACCACUACCACCACCAUCACCACCACCACCACCAUCGGUCUCCUGGGAGGACACAACACAACCACAGACCCUCUCCAGAUCAGGAUGAUGAGGAGGGUAUAUGGGCAUAGCCGUUCCUAUAAACCAAAGUUCCAGUUUUGUUUUGAGGGAUGAUCCAGUCACUGUUGGAGGCACAUAGCCACGGCACAAUCUCAUGCUGUACAUUGAUCACCUGUCCAACCUUUGCCUAGAGUGUGAUCCCCAGUUCCUUCAAGAGAUCCAUCUUUACCUGUCUAUAAAGAAGAAGAGGAGGAGGGAGACAUCUGGGAUAUUCAAGUAUCAAAGUUUAACACCAGAGCAGUUGUCAGAGGAACUAGAGAAAAAGGAAGAAAAAACUGUGGCACUGGAAGGUAACAAUGAUAAUCUAUUGCAUUGGAUCUCCAAACAUGACCAUGAUAUCCUGGAGAAGAUCACAGAUGCAGAAAAUGAAUGCUAAGGUUGAUAUCUAAUGAAAUGCUGCAUUAAUUAGCAUUUUGUCCAUUAUUUCUUGUAGUCUAUUGUGAAAUUAGAUACUUUGGAAAGUAAUGAAGGAGACUCAAGCAGAAAUUAUAACAGCUUCAUUUCUGUCUUUAAUGGGUCUUGUGAGUUAAUCUGUUUUUACAAAGAAACCAUCUGUUCAGAAUAUAGUUGUUUCAUGAAGUUCAGUUAAACAGGUUAUUUAGCAAAUUUUUGGUAAAUUAAUAUUGAUUUUAAUAGGUAAUUCAGAUUCCCUAGAUGUGGCAUCUGCAUUUGCUGAUUUUACCUAGUCUAUUCUAAAGUAUCACUUCUAUUGCACUAGAUUAUCAAAGAGGUAUUAGUAAAAUGCUAUAUAAGGGUGUUGGCAUUAACUUUACCCCCAGUUAGAUACAGGCUUUUCCAAAAUAUAAAAACAAGCCUUUACCCUCCUCUGUUUUCUUUUCUCUACUGAUAAAAUAAUAUAAAUUAAAAACAAACCAAAACCAAAUAUUGAUACUAUAACCGGUAUUAAGCUCUGGGCCAGGUUGGAAAUGAAAUCAAUUUUUGGUACUAAUAACUGUUGACAAAGCUUAGUUUUAUGAAAAUAUGGUGUGUGUCUCUGACAAUGCAUAGGACAUCUAAUUUGAACAUAAAUAUAUGAUUAUAUACAAGAUGCAUCUAUUCCUGGAUGGUAAAAGCUUGAGGUGUAUAUAAAUAAAUGUGUGUGUGUAUAUAUGAACAUGUACACAAGGAUGUAUCAACCUCUUACCAUCCAAAUGCAUACAUGUUUUCAACAAUAAAAGCUGGGACUCUUAAAGAAACAAACAAAAACAAAAAUAAAUAUGAGAUUGCUGUGAAUACAGUAUAUGCACUAGGUCUCCUGUAAAUGUGGAACUGUUUGUUAUUGUUCUCUGCAUUGAAAAACAGUCUCCAACACAGACCCCAAUGAAUCUUAGAUGUUAAAGAAAAUACCAAUGAACAAACAGCACUUGAAGGCUGUUUGUGUCAACAAAAUGUGUCUAGUUAAAUAAAUUCAAAGCACAUGCAAGGAAAAAUAAAAAUGUGAAGUCGUUCCAUUCAGUGAGAAACUCUUAACUGACAGUCAGAUCUCUCUCUUCUCAAGAAGAGGUUCCUUCUGACUCCACAAACAUUUUCAGUCAGUCUGGCAAACAUGUGCAAAUGUUUGGCUGUUUUGUUGAGGCAUCUUUUUGUCCAUGGAAGAAAUGCUUCCAUGCUGAUGGCAGUGGAAAUAGAAUAUCUGCAUUUUUAAAGGACAAACAAUAAAUUUAAGCAUGGGUGGCCUUAAUCCUUAGUAGUUUUUCUUUGCUGCUGUUAAAAAAAAAAAAAAGGAAAAAAAAAAAAAAAGAAA